GAUAGAGAACAACUAAUGACAUUCUAAACAUAUUGUAAUGUUAACUAGCUAGAAUAGGAGAGACGAAUACUCAAUUUUUCAAGAAGAAGAAUACGAAAAGCGCAGUUUCAAGAAUGAUAAAAACAAAGAUUGCGCAUUGACGAGUUCAAAUUUUGUUCGUUGUUCGUUGUAUUGCAGGCAUACAAAAUCAUGAAUAUCAUCAAAAGUUAACAUCAAUAUAAGUGAAUAUUAAUAAAAGAUAUCAAUAUAAGUGAAUAUUUUAUAGUGAACAUUAGUGAACAUUUACCUACAUAUUCAUUUAACUGAAUUUUCAUUGUAUUAUUUAAUCUUGUCUCGUUGCUGUGUUUGUUUCAACCAUUUAUAUAUAACCCAAAAGCUGGAUGCCAUUAAGAGCCGUCUCACUGCAAUUUAAAAGUCCCUAACAAACAAAAUGCCAGAAAAGGCCGAGAUGCAGACGCAUGCCGCGUCAUAGCGGCAAAGCAAACAUUUCAAUUAUCCGCAUCACCGGUGACUUGGAGGAUGAGCAUUACGUGGAGCUCGAGUCGAAAUUGCCUAUGUCAUCGGAAGAGCACGGGUGCUUCGGGGACAAACAUUCACAAAUGAAAAUGGAUAUUAGUUUUAAGUUGUAAAUAUUAGUUUUAAGUUUGACAUAUUAGUUUUAAGUUGUAAAUAUUAGUUCUAAGUUGUAUAUAUUAGUUCUAAGUUGAAGUCUCUAAAUUUAGUUUUACAAAUAUGCUUUUUUAACUAAUAACUUUUAUACUGAAGUAAACUUAAUCUUAUGUUUAAGUAAAUAUGAUUUUAUUAUUAAAUAAAGCGAAAUAAUAAAAAAAAA